CCUCUCUCCUCCUUCUCUCCCCCUUCUCCCCUUCUUUUCCCCUCUCUCUUCCUUCCCUUCCCCUCUCUCCUCCUUCUCUCCCCCUUCUCCCCUUCUCUCCCCCUACUCUUCCUCUCUCUCCUCCUUCUUUUUCCCCUCCGUCCCCCUUCAAUUCCCUCUCCUUCUCCCUUUUCUUCCCCUUCCUUCUCUUCCCCCUCCUCACCAUCUCUUCCCCCUUCGUCUCCUGCUUUCUCCACUUUUCUUCCCUCUCCCCUUCCCCUUCUAUUCUCCCUCCUUCUCCCCUUCAACCUUCCCACUUCUCCCCUUCUCUUCCCCCUCUUUUGCCCCUUCUCUUCCCCCUCUUUUGCCCCUUCUCUCCCCCUUCUCUUCCCCCCUUUCCUCCUUUCCUCCCCUCUUCUCUCCCCCCUCCUUCCCCCUUCUUCUCCUCCCUCCUUCCCUUUCCCUUCCUUCCCCUUUCCCCUCCCCUUCCAUACUCCCCACUCCCAUCCCCAGGACCCCCAGGCCAGGCGACCACCCCUGUGCCGGCCGCCCCGAGAGUGGGGCAGGACUGGGCAGAAUUUGAGUCUAAGCCGCACACCCACGUCAGGCAUUGACCAGUGAGGAGCAGAUGGGGAUGAUGGAGACGCAGGUACCCCGAGGAAGACCGUCUGCCUAUCACGGGGUCUCACAGAGUCUCACGAGGCUGCCUCCUGGCACCUUCAGGUCUGGUCACCCCCACUCAAGACACCAUCCAGGGCCGGGGUAAGACCUGGCCUCUCGGAAGCAGGGAGUGUAUGUGUUAUAUUGUUAUCUCUCCCAAGUGCUUAGUACGGGGCCGUGCACUCAGGAAGCACUCAGUAAAUAGGAUCGACUGCCUUUCUUUCUCCACAGCCUAUCAAUGGACAUCAUAAGGGGGAGUCUGGAGGAAAUUUCACGCCCCGCGUCCAGCGCCAGGGUCCAUCUUGGGACCCCGGGGUCGAGCACUUCCUUGGAGGUGCUGACGCCGGAGCCAAGUCUGCCCAAGGCCAUCGCCACGGUUGAGUCUCCCCCCGCUGACCGACGCCUCAGCCCUGAGAGCCGUCGGGCAGAGGGAAGCGGCGGGAGCGAUCAAGGCGAGAGAGAGCAAUGCUCUCGUCUCAGUGGCCCGCACCAAGGCUGUUCAGAGGAUGGGACUGGCAGCGAUUGCCCCCGGCUGAUCCAGAGUCCUCUGCCCUCGGACUCCGGUUCCAGCCUGGGGGACUCGGAAGACGACUGCGCCACCGUGGCCUCGUCCACACCCAGGAAGCCGUCACCGGAGCCCCGGAUUCACGUGGCAGAAGGUGCCGGGGUCGGGUCUGGCUUUGGGCCUCAGUGCCGGCCAACGGUUUCCCACUGCAUUUGUCUG
rnacentral:lncRNA from 1 species